rnacentral:snRNA from 1 species
AUGCUUGCUUCAAUGCACGUAUACUAGUAUUGGAAAAAUACAGAGAAGAUUAGCAUGGCCCCUUGGCAUGGAUGACAUGCAAGUAAAAGUACCAAUGUAU